rnacentral:rRNA from 1 species
ACCUGCGGAGGGAUCAUUGCUGGAACGCGCUUCGGCGCACCCAGAAACCCUUUGUGAACUUAUACCUAUUUGUUGCCUCGGCGUAGGCCGGCCUCUUCACCGAGGCCCCCUGGAAACAGGGAGCAGCCCGCCGGCGGCCAACUAAACUCUUGUUUCUAUAGUGAAUCUCUGAGUAAAAACAUAAAUGAAUCAAAACUUUCAACAACGGAUCUCUUGGUUCUGGCAUCGAUGAAGAACGCAGCGAAAUGCGAUAAGUAAUGUGAAUUGCAGAAUUCAGUGAAUCAUCGAAUCUUUGAACGCACAUUGCGCCCUCUGGUAUUCCGGAGGGCAUGCCUGUUCGAGCGUCAUUUCAACCCUCAAGCCUGGCUUGGUGAUGGGGCACUGCCUUCUAACGAGGGCAGGCCCUGAAAUCUAGUGGCGAGCUCGCUAGGACCCCGAGCGUAGUAGUUAUAUCUCGUUCUGGAAGGCCCUGGCGGUGCCCUGCCGUUAAACCCCCAACUUCUGAAAAUUUGACCUCGGAUCAGGUAGGAAUACCCGCUGAACUUAAGCAUAUCAAUAAGGCGGAGGAA